GAGUUUGAUCCUGGCUAGAAUGAACGCUGGCGGCAUGCCUUACACAUGCAAGUCGAACGGCAGCAUGACCUAGCUUGCUAGGUUGAUGGCGAGUGGCGAACGGGUGAGUAAUGCAUCGGAACGUGCCUUUUAGUGGGGGAUAACGUAGCGAAAGUUACGCUAAUACCUGCAUAUUAUNCGAGGAGGAAAGAAGGGAACCUUCGGCUCCUUGCGCUAGAAGAGCCGGCCGAUGGCGGAAUUAGCUAGNUGGGUGAGGUAAAAGGCUCACCAAGGGCAACGAUNCGGUAGCGGGUCUGAGAGGAUGAUCCGCCACACUGGAACUGAGACACGGGCCCAGGACUCNUACGGGAGGCAGCAGUGGGGAAUUUUGGACAAUGGGGCGAAAGCCUGAUCCAGCCAUGCCGCGUGAGUGAAGAAGGCCUUCGGGGNUGUAAAGCCCUUUCGGCCGGGACGAAAUCGCAUUCUCUAAUACAGGAUGUGGAUGACGGUACCGGAAUAAGAAGCACCGGCUAACUACGUGCCAGCAGCCGCGGUAAUACGUAGGGUGCGAGCGUUAUUCGGAAUUACUGGGCGUAAAGCGUGCGCAGGCGGUUGUGUAAGACAGACGUGAAAUCCCCGGGCUCAACCUGGGAACUGCGUUUGUGACUGCACGGCUAGAGUACGGCAGAGGGGGGUGGAAUUCCACGUGUAGCAGUGAAAUGCGUAGAGAUGUGGAGGAACACCGAUGGCGAAGGCAGCCCCCUGGGCCGAUACUGACGCUCAUGCACGAAAGCGUGGGGAGCAAACAGGAUUAGAUACCCUGGUAGUCCACGCCCUAAACGAUGUCAACUAGGUGUUGGGUGGGUAAAACCAUUUAGUACCGGAGCUAACGCGUGAAGUUGACCGCCUGGGGAGUACGGCCGCAAGGUUAAAACUCAAAGGAAUUGACGG
rnacentral:rRNA from 1 species